AAGAGAGCUUGCUCUCUGGGUGACGAGCGGCGGACGGGUGAGUAAUGUCUGGGAAACUGCCUGAUGGAGGGGGAUAACUACUGGAAACGGUAGCUAAUACCGCAUAACGUCUUCGGACCAAAGUGGGGGACCUUCGGGCCUCACGCCAUCAGAUGUGCCCAGAUGGGAUUAGCUAGUAGGUGGGGUAAUGGCUCACCUAGGCGACGAUCCCUAGCUGGUCUGAGAGGAUGACCAGCCACACUGGAACUGAGACACGGUCCAGACUCCUACGGGAGGCAGUAGUGGGGAAUAUUGCACAAUGGGCGCAAGCCUGAUGCAGCCAUGCCGCGUGUGUGAAGAAGGCCUUCGGGUUGUAAAGCACUUUCAGCGAGGAGGAAGGGUGGUGUGUUAAUAGCGCAUCACAUUGACGUUACUCGCAGAAGAAGCACCGGCUAACUCCGUGCCAGCAGCCGCGGUAAUACGGAGGGUGCAAGCGUUAAUCGGAAUUACUGGGCGUAAAGCGCACGCAGGCGGUUUGUUAAGUCAGAUGUGAAAUCCCCGCGCUUAACGUGGGAACUGCAUUUGAAACUGGCAAGCUAGAGUCUUGUAGAGGGGGGUAGAAUUCCAGGUGUAGCGGUGAAAUGCGUAGAGAUCUGGAGGAAUACCGGUGGCGA
rnacentral:rRNA from 1 species